UGCUUAGGGGUGAGCAAAAACCGAGUCGAACCGAAAAACCGAGUCAAACCGCACCGAACCGAACCGAACCGAAAUAUUUUUAAUUAAUAUGGAGUGGUUUGGUUUUGAAUCUUUAAAAAUUACGGUUUUCGGUUUCGGUUUGGUUUUAAGGUUCGGGCACCAAACUGAACCGAAAAAACCGAAAUUAUUAAUGAAGGUUGUUUUGGUCAUUUAGACAUAACACUAUAUAUACACUCUAUAAUACUAAACCCUAAUGUCUCAAUACUGCCGCCACCCUCACUCCUUAUACCCUCACCAAAUUCUUCUCUUUUUUCUUAUUUUCUUUCUACAUCUCCCCUAUUUUCUUUAUCAACCCUCUAAAUCAAAGCAUAAAAUCGAAUCUUCCAUUAAAAUUGUUGCUCCAUCAUGGGUCUUAUUUGUUUUCAGUCUUAUAUUUUUUUUCUAUCUCCAAUCGAUUUUUAAUAUUUAUCCGCAAGAUGUAAAACAUGGAAUCUAUAGUGAUUUUGUUGAAGAAAAACAUGAAAUUUAUAAGGAGCUAAAUCUCUAUGAUCCUUGAAGAAAAUUGGAAUUGAGCAAAGUUAAUUUUAGUUCUUUUAGUUUGUAAAGAAAAGAUGAAUGUAAAUAAAUAUUUAGAAUUAAUUAAUGUAGCCAUUUUUAUAUAUAUUAAUACGAUUUAUGAUUUAGAUA